rnacentral:rRNA from 1 species
CCUACGGGUGGCAGCAGUGAGGAAUAUUGGUCAAUGGGCGGGAGCCUGAACCAGCCAAGUCGCGUGAGGGAAGACGGUCCUAUGGAUUGUAAACCUCUUUAGGCGGGGAGCAAUGCCGGGCACGCGUGCCCGGCGGGAGAGUACCCGCAGAUUAAGCACCGGCUAACUCCGUGCCAGCAGCGGCGGUAAUACGGGGGAUGCGAGCGUUUUCCGGAUUUAUUGGGUUUAACGGGUGCGACGGGGGAUUUUUAAGUAGGCGGUAAAAUGUCGGGGCUCAACCCGGGCCGGCCGUUGAUACUGGGGAUCUUGAGUGGGCGAGAAGUAGGCGGAAUGCGUGGUGUAGCGGUGAAAUGCAUAGAUAUCACGCAGAACUCCGAUUGCGAAGGCAGCAUACCGGCGCCCGACUGACGCUGAGGCACGAAAGCGUGGGGAUCGAACAGGAUUAGAUACCCGGGUAGUC